rnacentral:lncRNA from 1 species
UGUUACCUAAAGAAUCAUAGAAAGUGUUAACUCUAAUUUCUAUUUUAAAGUAGUUUUAUCUUAAAUUCUUUACAUCUAUACUACUAAUUAACCCUUAUAAAAUAUCUAGACUACUAAUUAACUCCUCAAUAGUUACUAAAAUGUUAUUUAUUUUACUUAUUAGAAAUAUUUUAUAAACAUAGAUAAGUUAUUUUCAGCAUAGGUAAGACACAAAACAAAAUCAGUUUUCAAAAGUUUGGCAAG